rnacentral:rRNA from 1 species
UACGUAGGGGGCAAGCGUUAUCCGGAUUUACUGAGUGUAAAGGGGGCGCAGACGGCAGCGCAAGCCAGGAGUGAAAGCCCGGGGCCCAACCCCGGGACUGCUCUUGGAACUGCGCGGCUGGAGUGCAGGAGGGGCAGGCGGAAUUCCUGGUGUAGCGGUGAAAUGCGUAGAUAUCAGGAGGAACACCGGUGGCGAAGGCGGCCUGCUGGACUGCGACUGACGUUGAGGCCCGAAAGCGUGGGGAGCAAACAGG